rnacentral:rRNA from 1 species
GAUGAACGCUGGCGGCGUGCCUAAUGCAUGCAAGUCGAGCGAAUGGAUUAAGAGCUUGCUCUUAUGAAGUUAGCGGCGGACGGGUGAGUAACACGUGGGCAACCUGCCCAUAAGACUGGGAUAACUCCGGGAAACCGGGGCUAAUACCGGAUAACAUUUUGAACCGCAUGGUUCGAAAUUGAAAGGCGGCUUCGGCUGUCACUUAUGGAUGGACCCGCGUCGCAUUAGCCAGUUGGUGAGGUAACGGCUCACCAAGGCAACGAUGCGUAGCCGACCGGAGGGGGUGAUCGGCCACACUGGGACUGAGACACGGCCCAGACUCCUACGGGAGGCAGCAGUAGGGAAUCUUCCGCAAUGGACGAAAGUCUGACGGAGCAACGCCGUGUGAGUGAUGAAGGCUUUCGGGUCGUAAAACUCUGUUGUUAGGGAAGAACAAGUGCUAGUUGAAUAAGCUGGCACCUUGACGGUACCUAACCAGAAAGCCACGGCUAACUACGUGCCAGCCGCCGCGGUAA